AUGAGGCUGCUGGAGAGAAUGAGGAAAGAAUGGUUCAUGAUUGGAAUAGUACUGGCGAUCGCGGGAGCAAAGCUGGAGCCGUCCAUAGGGGUGAAUGGGGGACCACUGAAACCAGAAAUAACUGUCUCCUACAUUGCUGUCGCAACAAUAUUCUUUAACAGCGGACUAUCAUUAAAAACAGAGGAGCUGACAAGUGCUUUGGUGCAUAUAAAACUGCAUCUUUUUAUUCAGAUCUUUACACUUGCAUUCUUCCCAGCAGCAGUAUGGCUUUUUCUUCAGCUUUUAUCAAUCACACCCAUCAAUGAAUGGCUUUUAAAAGGGUUGCAGACAGUAGGUUGCAUGCCUCCGCCUGUGUCUUCUGCGGUGAUAUUAACCAAGGCAGUUGGUGGAAACGAGGCAGCUGCAAUAUUUAACUCAGCCUUUGGAAGUUUUUUGGAGCCAAGGCGAUGCAGCUUAUCCUCUUUCUCGCCAUCCUCUGUCACCGUAAGAUGA
rnacentral:lncRNA from 1 species